CAGCCGCCGCGGUAAUACGGAGGGUGCAAGCGUUAAUCGGAAUUACUGGGCGUAAAGCGCACGCAGGCGGUCUGACAAGUCAGACGUGAAAUCCCCGGGCUUAACCUGGGAACUGCAUUUGAAACUGUCAGGCUGGAGUCUUGUAGAGGGGGGUAGAAUUCCAGGUGUAGCGGUGAAAUGCGUAGAGAUCUGGAGGAAUACCGGUGGCGAAGGCGGCCCCCUGGACAAAGACUGACGCUCAGGUGCGAAAGCGUGGGGAGCAAACAGGAUUAGAUACCCCUGUAGUCCCUGUCUCUUAUAC
rnacentral:rRNA from 1 species